rnacentral:rRNA from 1 species
GACGAACGCUGGCGGCGUGCUUAACACAUGCAAGUCGAACGAAGUGGCGCACGGGUGAGUAACGCGUAAUCAACCUGCCCUUCAGAGGGGGACAACAGGUGGAAACGACUGCUAAUACCGCACACUGAAGGUGGGGUUUGCGUCUGAUGAGCUAGUGGGAGGGGUAACGGCCCACCAAGGCGAUGAUCAGUAGCAGGUCUGAGAGGAUGAUCCGCCACACUGGGACUGAGACACGGCCCAGACUCCUACGGGAGGCAGCAGUGGGGAAGUUUGGACAAUGGGCGCAAGCCUGAUCCAGCCAUGCCGCGUGUCUGACGAAGGCCUUCGGGUUGUAAAGGACUUUUGUCAGGGAAGCGGUACCUGAAGAAUAAGCACCGGCUAACUACGUGCCAGCCGCCGCGGUAAUAC